GUUUGGGCCCAGACCCCGGCCGCGGGCAGGGACUCGAAAGGUGGCGACGUCACAAUGGACCGCAGGGGUCGCCCUCAGAGGCCUUCAGUUAAAAACAAUAGCCUGACAUGUUGAAGCACGCCUGUAAUCUCAGCACUUCGGAGGCUGAGGCAGGAGGAUCACUGUGAGUUCGACACCAGCCUGGGCUACACAGUGAGUUCCAGAGUUGGAAUGGCAGGUGAAGGAGUGUUCUCACUGUUGCUAAGGGAGCAGAUGUCGGACUAGCUUUCUACCCAUGAGUUUGAAAACGCAGAUCCACACACAGCUGCUUGUGCUAAAUUUGGCUAAUCUUGUCCAAUUAACCCGCCUGCUUAGCCUUAUCUGAGUCUCAUCUGAUUCUCCAAACACCCGGCAGGAUUGCUCUGAUCUCUGCUUCAUAGCCAAGGUGCGGGGAGCUCUCCAGGAGAAAAGUACUUGUCCACCUCAUUUUCAAUCUUUACAAACAAGAAGAAUGCUGGGCAGUUGGCCAUUGGUGAUCCAGACCUGAGGCAAGCAAGCAGAAGGGCUUUGGAGAUGACUCUCAACUCUAAUGCUGCCCAGCCAGUCCCAGAUACCCACCAGAUUUCAGGCCUGACAUGCGAAGUUCUUUGCAGAAGCCACACUUACAAACAGAGGACAGGGGCUCCCCCAUCUUCCCAGGGAUCAAUUCCAGGGCCUUGUGCAUGCUAAGCAACU